rnacentral:lncRNA from 1 species
UGAGCAGCUGCAAAAAUAAAGGCCUCUUCCUGCUCACCCACCGGGCCAAGUGGACCAGCAGCUUUCAGAUUUACUCAUCUGCAGCCGCAAGAGUGUGACUCUGAGUUUCCAAGCACUGUCAGGCUUCAGAAGCCAGACGCAAGUCGGGAUUCUUGAAAGACAUCGAAGAGGUUCAAAGAGGCCAAUUGGUGAUUGGAACCAAAGCCCAGCAGAUGUGGAGGAGGGACACCUCCAGGGAGUCCCAAGCCUCUUUGGCCUCACCCAGCCCUAGCCACCAGCUCUGGUUGGAGAGCAGAGACCUGCAGCGACAGGAAGAGCCAGCAGAGACCACAGGGAGGCUCUCAAAUGGCAGAAGACCUUUGGACCAACAGUCUUUUGGUGGACAUUGUAAACAAAACAACAAACCAACCAACCAGAGGACCAGGUCCCAACCAGACCUACUGAUGAGGUGGGGUCAGAAGUCUGCACAGGUUUUAGGGGUCAGGCCUGCACCCUUGGACCUGAACUCCUGCUAUUGCCUUACUCCUCAUUUCACAGAUGGAGAAACCGGCCCCAGAUGGAAACAGAAGGGCCGCCUAGACACAGGGAAGACAGCGUACACGACCCCAGGACCCCAUCCUGCUUUGUCACCUUCCCAGGCCCCCUGCCUGCUUUGUCACCACCCCCAGGCCCCUGCCUGCUUUGUCACCACCCCCAGCUUUGUCCUUUGUUUGCUUUGUCCUUUCCUCUACUCUCUGGAAAACUCUCUUUCAAAAGAACCUCUAAACAGUUUCUCAGCAUCCUUUCUUCAGAUUGAUUUUAAUUUAGGUGGAAAAUGUUCCAGCCCAGUUGGUGUUUAAUUGUCACUGAGAGGACCAGAGAUUCAGAGCAAGAGACCUUGAUUUCCAUCUUGGCUCCAGAAAAUCGAUAGACGGAGACAGGAGGAGGCGCCCCCAGGGCAGGCAGCAGAACAGCCCGUGCUCAGGCCCUAAACAGGGAAGCCCUGGGCUUGUCCAGGGAACUGGAGGUAAGGAGGGGAAAAGGGAAUGAGAACACGGGGUCAAAGAGCUCCAGCCUCAUCUUGCUGAGGUUGAAUUUCUUCAGGUGGAAAACAGGGAUGAAGAGUUCACUCAUUUUAU